UAGUAUAACUUGCUCAACUUUAUGCCCUUUUUUGUUGACCAUUAUCUCUAGUGUUUUCUUUCCCAGUUUAUUUUCACAACGUCUUGAGUUUAACUAAACAAAUGUUGAAAAUGUUGCCCGAACAGGAAAACUUCAUUUAUCAACAUUUUGUUGAAUUAGUGAGGGACCACGAUUUAGUAAAUGUAAUGAAAAGUCUCUCCACAAAAGACCCAUUAGUCAACAAUUUAAUUGCCAGUAUAAACACUGAUGAUGAUUACCGACAUAAUAACAGAAUGAUUUUAUUCGGUUUAUUGAAGUCGGAAUCUGAGACAAUUUUUUAUGACUUUGUUGAAUCCCUGAAACAAUGUGGGUAUUCAGAGUUUGAAAACAAAAUUGAUAAGCCGAUAAAGGAAACAAUACAAGACGGCUCAGACCAAAAAUCAACAGUAAGGAUUAUUUUGAAUCUUCUGAUGGUAUUGUUGAUGAAAAUUUUUCCAACAAUGUUCUAAAAUGUUAUUUUACGGCAAGUCUUUUUGACAAAACUUAACCAGUGUGUCUUUUAAUUUCUAACAAGGCUUGGGGUAUUUUUUUCAUGUUGAGAAGCAAUUAACAUACUAAUAACUACAUGUUUUAUUAAUCUUUUUCAACUAUUUUUUUUGCCUUGUUUUAAUUACGAAAUUUGGGAAUAAUAAACGGCUUAUGAUUAA